rnacentral:lncRNA from 1 species
CCGGGUGGAAGCUAUGAGCGCGCCGCCAGCGGGGCUCCUCGGAGGCGGCGGGGCAGGCCCGAGCUGGGCUCCUGUGGCCGGGGUGGGAGGAGAAGAGGCCGCGCGGCACGGGUUCAUUCAUGCAGAGGGCAUUUAUUGGGUGACUGCAGUACUGCAAAAGGUUGCAAAGGAAAUGGAAGAUCUGGUCCCUGCAGGUUGGGAGUUUACAAUCUAAUUAGAAACACAAGGCAUAUAUACGUGAAAAAACUAGAAUCCCCAGCUGUAAGCAAAAGGAUGGAGUAGGUGGGAGCAUUUUUUUCAUAAAGAGGAGAGCUUUGUACCUGUAUGAUUGGUGAGGAUCAGGAGAGGCAAGUUCAGUACCAAUCAAGGCAAGAGCACCUAUAUGUAUCCCUGCUCUAUAGAAUGAUGUAACAGGGCCCUCAUUGUCACUUGGCUGAAGUGUCAGCUCUGCCACUUACAAACUGUUUUGAACUGGGGCACAUUUUUAACCUAAGAAGGGAAUACAGGUUGUCUCGUGAGGUGGUUGUGCAGUUCAAAUGAGAUUACAAACGUGAAAGCUUGUGAAGCUCAAUGAUGUACAUUCAUGGAGUCCUCAUUGUACAAACUGGCCCCUUCUUGGUAACCUUUAGAGUUCCCUCCCAGGCUGUAAGCUGCAAGAGGGCAGGGACCAGGUCUGGUUGUAUUCAUCAUGUAUCACAAUGUCUAGCAGAAGGGUUCAUGUGGGUGUUCAAUAAAGUUUUGCUGAGUAGGUAAAUAAAUGAAUUAAUGAAUCCUGUUAUGCUCUGAACAGUUCCUAUUAUUUGUUCCUUAAGCAGUUCCUUCAAUAGUGGUCUUAUUGUAUCGCUGGCUCAGUGAAAAACACUCUAACUCAACCUCCUGUGACUUACUAGUGUGCCAGGAGACUGGGAGAAUUCUGGAUGGUACUGUCAGAGGCAUUCGAACCAGAGAAACUCCAUUUUGAAUGAGGGCUAGGAAAAUGAGGCUGAGACUGGCUGGGCUGCAUUCUCGGGAAGUUAGGCUUUCUUAGCCUCUAGAUGUUUACAGCUAAGGGAACAAAUUAAUAGUGUUUACUAAACAAACCCAGACUUGGGAGUGUCCAGAUAUCCCGAUAUCUGGAGAACAAAGGCAUUCCUAAUUUUGCUUUAAAGAUAAUAUUGAUUCUUGCAAAAUAUAGUAAUUUAUUUAUUUAUCACAAAC